CCUACGGGCGGCAGCAGUGAGGAAUAUUGGUCAAUGGACGAGAGUCUGAACCAGCCAAGUAGCGUGAAGGAUGACUGCCCUAUGGGUUGUAAACUUCUUUUAUAUGGGAAUAAACUGUUCCACGUGUGGGAUUUUGUAUGUACCAUAUGAAUAAGGAUCGACUAACUCCGUGCCAGCAGCCGCGGUAAUACGGAGGAUCCGAGCGUUAUCCGGAUUUAUUGGGUUUAAAGGGAGCGUAGGUGGAUUGUUAAGUCAGUUGUGAAAGUUUGCGGCUCAACCGUAAAAUUGCAGUUGAAACUGGCAGUCUUGAGGACAGUAGAGGUGGGCGGAAUUCGUGGUGUAGCGGUGAAAUGCUUAGAUAUCACGAAGAACUCCGAUUGCGAAGGCAGUUCACUGGACUGCAACUGACACUGAGGCUCGAAAGUGUGGGUAUCAAACAGGAUUAGAUACCCGGGUAGUC
rnacentral:rRNA from 1 species